UGGGGAAUCUUGCGCAAUGGGCGAAAGCCUGACGCAGCGACGCCGCGUGAGUGAUGAAGGCCUUCGGGUUGUAAAGCUCUGUGGGGAGGGACGAAUAAGUCGGAGCGAAUAUCUCCGAUGAUGACGGUACCUCCUUAGCAAGCACCGGCUAACUCUGUGCCAGCAGCCGCGGUAAGACAGAGGGUGCAAACGUUGUUCGGAAUUACUGGGCGUAAAGCGCGUGUAGGCUGCUCUGUGUGUCGGAUGUGAAAGCCCCGGGCUCAACCUGGGAAGUGCACUCGAAACUACAGAGCUGGAGUCUCGGAGAGGAUCGCGGAAUUCUCGGUGUAGAGGUGAAAUUCGUAGAUAUCGAGAGGAACACCGGUGGCGAAGGCGGCGAUCUGGACGA
rnacentral:rRNA from 1 species